rnacentral:rRNA from 1 species
GACGAACGCUGGCGGCGUGCUUAACACAUGCAAGUCGUACGGUAAGGCCCUUUCGGGGGUACACGAGUGGCGAACGGGUGAGUAACACGUGAGUAACCUGCCCACAACUUUGGGAUAACGCUAGGAAACUGGUGCUAAUACUGGAUAUGUGCUCCUGCUGCAUGGUGGGGGUUGGAAAGCUCCGGCGGUUGUGGAUGGACUCGCGGCCUAUCAGCUUGUUGGUGGGGUAGUGGCCUACCAAGGCGGCGACGGGUAGCCGCCCUGAGAGGGUGACCGGCCACAUUGGGACUGAGAGAAGGCCCAGACGCCUACGGGAGGCAGCAGCGGGGAAUGUUGCACAAUGGGCGCAAGCCUGAUGCAGAAACGCCGCGUGCGGGAUGACGGCCUUCGGGUUGUAAACCGCUUUCAGCAGGGACGAAGCUUUUUGUGACGGUACCUGCAGAAGAAGCACCGGCUAACUACGUG